rnacentral:rRNA from 1 species
GAUGAACGCUAGCGGCAGGCCUAACACAUGCAAGUCGAGGGGUAACAUAGGAAAGCUUGCUUUUCUGAUGACGACCGGCGCACGGGUGCGUAACGCGUAUACAACCUACCUUCUAGCGGGGAAUAACCCAGGGAAACUUGGAUUAAUGCCCCAUAGUAUAUAGACUUCUCCUGAAGUUUAUAUUAAACAUUUAUGGCUAUUAGAUGGGUAUGCGUCCUAUUAGUUAGUUGGUAAGGUAACGGCUUACCAAGGCAGCGAUAGGUAGGGGUCCUGAGAGGGAGAUCCCCACACUGGUACUGAGACACGGACCAGACUCCUACGGGAGGCAGCAGUGAGGAAUAUUGGACAAUGGGCGAGAGCCUGAUCCAGCCAUGCCGCGUGCAGGAAGACUGCCCUAUGGGUUGUAAACUGCUUUUACAGAGGAAGAACCACCCCCACGUGUGGGGGUUUGACGGUACUCUGCGAAUAAGGAUCGGCUAACUCCGUG